CUCCACUCGCUGGAAGUCUUGGUGUGACUUGAGGGCUCCAGAACAAGCUCCCUUUCCCCUGAAACACGGUGACAGCCUGUCCGCCUUCCAGAAGCUGCUGCCACUGCGAUGUUUACGUGCUGACCGACUCUACAGAGCUGUGGCCGACUAUGUUACUGUCAUCAUGGGCAACGCAUUUGUGCACCCCCCUUUGACC